AUAUUUACUGUUGUCCUAACCUUUCCCAAAUUAAUUCUUGCCCUUCUUGUCUUCUUUGCUCCUUCCAUAUUUAGUGAGUUGGACUAUGGAUCAGGUACUGUGCUCAGCAUCAGAAAAUGGGAUGACAAUGAACAGAGUAACACGACUAUAUUUCUGAAAAAGGAUGAACUUACUGGAAACAGGAUUGCGUGCCUGAAAUAGACCCAAAUGGAUAUAAAUGUCAACUCAGUUCUGGGCUGGAGAUAUAGAUUUGGAAUGCACCAACAAUGCAGAUGGUAAUCCUGGCAUGCGAGUAGGUGAGAUCAUCCGGGGAGAUGGCCUAUAAUGAGAGCCUAUAACAUGUCAGGGCUCAAGCACCUCUUACUGCCUCCUCACUCUGGAACCAAAUGCCUUACUGUAAGUGGCAUCUAGAUCUUGCCAGUGACUUUCCUGUACAGGGCCUACAGGAAAUGGUUUUCUCAGCAUUUAAGGUACA
rnacentral:lncRNA from 1 species